CCAUUGCGACAGGUAGCAACCCCGCUGUCGCUUUUAUUAAUUAAUUAAUUAAUUAAUUAAUACUACACCCACUGGGCCAACGGAUAAGGAAAUAUCAAAGCUGAUAUCAACAGUGUUUUACUCCCCUUCUCGUCUACUAGUGCAUCUAUUCUUUUCGCUCAAAGCAAUAAGUGAAGGACUGGAUCAAGGAGGUUCCACCAACCAGGAGUUUCUCUCUACACUGAGCUUUGGCUUCAGAUGACUCACUCCCCUUCUGAGCCGGUUCGGAUGGGAGAAGGGAAAAGGAAAAUGGGCAAACAAAAGCAGAGUCUCUUUACAGCGAAUGAAUGAUUUGCUGGGAGUGUUUGAGCGUCACAGAUCGAUUUCACAACUCCUACUUCUCGAGGAUUCGAGUACAAGCGGUACAGAAGUGCCUUCAAAGAGAAGCCCAGAUACGGGACCUCACCUCAGCAGGCGGAGAAGCUUCAGGAAUGCCUGACUCCAAUUGCCACAGCCUUGGGAAGUGUCAACUCUGUGCGGGCGUUGGGGAAUAAAUUCCGCCUUCUGUCUCAGCAAACUGUUCCAGUCUAAGGAGCGGAAGAAGCGAUGCUGCUUCACUUCGUAGGCACCACCUGGACGGGGAGAGAAGCGAAGCUGAGAGGCUGAGCCACCCUCUGCACAAAGGAAGCCCCAGCCUUACAAACGACUCAAGAUAAUUUAUUUGCAGAGAACUGACAAAAAGUGGUGAGUCCAUGCUUCCCCCCUACCUUCUACAAUCAAAACUUGAAGAAGAAGAAAAAAAACUCCUAUAGUUUAUCAGCAGGAAAUCUGAUUUUGCUAACAGCAGUUGCUAUAGCACAGAUUUUUCUCUGUUAAUUUUUCUACAACUUCUUCCAUUUUUCAAAGGUUAAUGACAGGGCCACUUAAAAUCACAUUAUACUGAACCUGGGGACAUGGACGCAUGUUGGCCCAAAAGCAGACUCGCUCAUUACAAACCCUGAAGAUCCUAACAAGGUACAAAACGUGCUUACGGCGAGAUUUCUUCUGGAGGGAAGGUUAAUAAUGAUGGAUUUUCCCUAAAUAUUACAUAACGGCUACCAUUCAGUUUUAUCAGGUCGCUCAUUAAUAUAGGGAGAAAUUAGAUUCUGUGGUUUAGAUCCUUAAGUAAGGAAACCGCACAUUGGUUAGACAGAUUUAUAAUUCCUCUAACAGAAAUCAGUCGUGGGGGCUAAGGUUGAGGCUUCUGUUUGCCAGACAAUUGUAGUGACACAGUUUGGCGAAAGGUUUUUUUAUUUAAUGAGUUUAAACAGUUUUAAGUUUGCAGGGCAAGAAGUGUAUUCAUAACACCCCAUUGAAAGAGAAGGAAGUCACUUGGUAAGAGCAGGUUGGGGGGUGGGGUUUACCCCAGCACACCCACUAUAGGUAACAAAGACAGGAGACUGAAAAGGCAUCAGGAAGAAAGAUUUCUCAAAAGACCAACACAGAGGUUUAAUCUGCCUCUCUGUCAAGCUUUCUUUUGGGGUGGGUGUGGGUGUGGCGAUCUAGCUGCUUCUCUCUGUGACUGUCAGCCAUGCCUCCCAUCCUGUCUUCUGUGGGUACAAAAGGGACAGGAUGAGAAAGGGAAGGGAGAUGGAGGAUAGGCUGGGAUUGUGGCUGGGGCAGGAAUGUUCUCUGUGCCCACGGGAUGCCUCUAGCACAGGACACGUUCCAGGUGUUCUAAAAACAUGAGAACGGCAGAGAAAAGUGGGGUGUAUCACCCCAUGAGGGGAUUGGUUUGUACAAAGCACAAGGGUGAGAAUAUUUUAUUUUUUUAUCCUUUUCUUUGUUUUGCUGUUGUUAUUUUUGUUGUUGUUACUAUUGUUUUUUUUUUUCAAGGCAGACUUUCUCUGCAUAGCCCUGGCUGUCCUAGAACUCAGAGAUCUACCUGCCUCUGCCUUCCAAGUGCUGAGAUUAAAGGCGUGUGCUACUAAGGCUCAGCAAAGAUGAGAAUCAAGAUUCUGUGCAGGUGAUUCCAAACUGAACAACUACAGUACCAGUGGUUUCUCUGCUAUGAUCUGUGGUCCAAUUCUGGGCUGGUGUUGAGGUAGACAGACAGACACAGACAGACAGACAGACAGACAGACAGACAGACAGACAGACAGACAGACAGAGAAAAUGCAUGGAAAAGAACAACCCUCAACCCCCGGCUUCUGGUUUAUGUUUCUUACUGAGAGUCAAGAAUUUCCAUUCUAAUGGCAAAAUCCAAACUUCUCUUAAAGACUGUCUGCAAAGAAAAAUACUUCCUUUGCUAGAUAAAGCCCACAAAAGAAAAAGAAAAAGUGUUAUAGCAACUAACAAAUCAUGUGUAAGGCCAAAACGCACGCCUUACACGUUUGCACCCUAUGAUUUGAACCUACUGUACCUCUCUCUCAUCACUAAGUCUGAAGAAUGCAUCCUUGUAAUUUUAUCUAUAAAAGGUAAUUCUUACAGAAAAAUAAGCAAGCCGACUCAUGGUUUUAAAGCUUUACUUAAUCUUCAGAUCUGGUUAUAAAUUAUAGCCUUUGAGCAUGUAACUUGCGAGAGCCACAAAAGCACACAGCUAUUGUUAGGACACGUGUCUCUUUCUAAAAGGUUGCAGGCUGGUUUUGCCUUUGAGAAGGCACAGCCCUUUCCUCAGUGAACCCCAGCUUUGCUCUAUGUUAUCUUCUCCUGAAACUGUUUGCUGCCGUGCAAAUGGGGAUGCUAUUUCCAUCUGAGUGCCGGGAUCCCGUAGGAACUCCUUAGGAGACAUCUUGCCCUGACAGUUCGGUAUUCUAUGCUUAGGUAUGGUGCUUGUCUAAAUAACUGAAAAUACCCCUCCAUAGGAUUGGCGUCAUCAACUCCAGUUUUAAAUGGGGAGACUCAAGAGAAGCAACAGAGCUCGAUGGCCUGGGAUCCUCCACACAAGAAUAAGGUGGCCACACAUAGGUCUGUCUUUAGAAAAUGCAGGCACGGAUGCACUGCCAUGGUCUCACCUCUACCCAUGAGAUCCUAUGCUUUAGUAUCCUUUUGCUUCAUUGUUUCUCAGCAUCAGUCUGAGAUAGACCCACUGUUGCCCAGGCUGGGUAUCUAAGCCAGUUGGCAAAUCUAUUCUAUUGGCGCCCUACCCCCACAUCCCAUUUCAGCUCUGUGCAUUUUGCUUCUCUUUUUGCUCCCAAUAAACGUCCUCUUAAACUCCUCUCAGAGUCAUUUUCUUCUAGCAAUUCUUUUAUUUGGAGGAGCAAAACACAAAGGCCAAAAGGGAUUGCACACUUCCCCGUUCCACCCCCUUGCCAUUGUGGUGGCACUGAGAUCCAACGCCAAGCCCCAAUGAAUGGCCCAUUUCUGAUUAGCCCAGCCAUGGCUGUAUUACCACAGUGACUAAUGCAGCUUCUGCUGCUUGUGGGACCCUAUCACUGACACUGCUAUGAAACUCUGGCCGUUUAUACCCAGAGAAGCAAUUUCUCUAAGGUCAGUGACACUUCCAUCCUCUCCCAUCUGUGGACCUCAAGCAGAUGAGAACUUUGCCUUCGUCCUGUGGAUGAUGACAAGUGAGUCUCCCCCAGUGAGACACCGCCACGGAAGACGUAGCUCGUGUCCCUUAAUGGACUUUUGUGCCUUACUUGGAAGAAAGUAUCAGUAGGCUCUGCUUCUCAUGUACUCGUGGAGAGGAGAGGAAGAAAAGAUUUACAAAUAAAUGGGGGAGACGGCCUGUGGGCUAAACUACUGGUAAAAAUGUAGGUGACUGUGUAGGUAAAAGUGUAGGUGACUAUAGGUGUAUUGUGAACUGUGUGCAGGUCGUGCAUGUACAGAGAGCUCCCAUUGCUAGAAGGAGUAGAAUGAAGGAAGAAUUUGCCUUCAUCCCCCAGGGUGUGGCUGGUCCCAUGUAGUAGAUCUCCUUAUGAACAUUAUUGCAUUUAGUCCCCACAAUAAUCCCAAGAUGUCCAAUGUGCCCAUUUUUAUACACUAGGAAAUUGAGGAUGAUGACGACAAAGAGCCCUAAGAGCUCACAGCUGAAUUGGCAGACAUAUCUUAACAGCUCGAAGGUCGGCAAGCCUGGCUUGCCACUGACUCUCCAAGUUCAAGAACACACACACACACACACACACACACACACACACACACACACACACACACAGAGUGCAAGUAUAGCACAAGGUCCUACACUGCAAGCUCUAGUUUGGAACUCCCUUGAGUUCCUCUCCUUUCCUGGAAGCUUCUUAAACAUUCAUUAUGCUCUUUACAGCCUUUCACCCCCCUUCUUUCUCAGCCUCUCUAGUCUCUCAGGCAAAUGUGCAUUUACACGUUUUCACGGUGCAUUAUUUUGCCCGCUAAAUAUGCGUUGAACACAAGAUGCUGUCACUGGAAGCGGCAUGGCGGGCCUGCAGGAUCCACAGUGUCAUUCUGGAGGCCCUACUGGGACCCAUCACAUUGGCCCUGCCGGUUUGGCAAUCACUUCUUGGCUGUUCUAAGAGCUUGAGUGAGACCUUUAAAUGUCUCUUUUGGGUUUCUCCUAGGGAAUUUGCUCUUACAGCUGUCAGAGACUGACAGUAGCAGUCAACGAGAAAAUGUGCAGAGAAGUGGCUUGCGGCUUAUGAUACAUACAUAGGGACCUGCUGCCUAGAGCAUCUAUCUUGUCUUGUUAAGUCAAGCCUAAUCAAAGAUGCUAGCAUUCUUAGAGAAGGGGGAGGGUAGCAUAUCAAGUGGAAAAACUUCAAACUGGACCCUGGGGACUGCAGGACAGGGGGCUUUUGAGCUUCUGUCAGAGGGGGUGUGCCCAUUCAGAUGCAUUUUUCAGUCAGAUCAUGGAAGCCCUCCUUCUGGGUCAGUUGAAUGGGGAAUCUAAAUAGAUAUUUGUACUACCACAGGGCAAUCUGGAAAAGCAGCUGUUUCUCAUAUUUGGCAUAACCCAGUCAAAAUAUUUCCUUAAGAGUCUGCCCCCUGCACAGUCUUUACGCCAUUCCUUUGACAGACACUCUUAUCUCUUGAACCACAAUGAGGAUCUAUCUGACCGCAGGUCACAAAAGACAAGAAAUAACAAGUUUGUUUGACAGUUCAGACAAGUGGAAAAGCAGAUAGGGUGGGAAGAAAUAUACUCGUCAAGGAGUACAGUAGCCUCCAAGGUAGCAACACCACCAACCAUGCCAUGGCCCUUACGAAAGGAAGGGUUGAGGUUCAAGGUGAAGGUUAUUUAUAGUACCAGAAGCACCAAACUUGGUUCUAAGACUUGUUUCAGGUGGCCUCCUCAUGUCUCACAACAAUACUUUGAGGUAGAAUGACUUAAGAAAGCCUACUCAUACAAGCAAGCUUUAGACGCUGGCCAUCUGACCCUGUUGUGCCCUUUACCUAGAUUUCUGAAGCUUUCCAAGUUAAAGGCACACUCAUUCACUGAAAAGGGCAGUAAAGAACGUGGAGCUCAGUUCAAUUGUUAAUUCCUAGGUAGGUCAGUCCAGAUUUAAGCCUUCCUGGAUUUCAUAACAUCGAGUCUGCACAAUUUCUGUGUGGAGGACUAAGUGGUCCAUACUUAGUCCCUGUGGGCUAUACAGUUUGUCCUGACUACCCAACUCUGUUGUAGCAUGAACACAGCCACCGAUGAUGUGUCUUAUGAAAAGAUACUGUUGUGUGUUUCUGCUUCAAAAAACUUUACUUAUAAAAACAGGAAACUGGACAGAUUGGGUCUAUAGACCAUAGUUUUACUGACCCCUGGUUUAAUGUAUUAUCAUGAGCUCCAGUGUAAUAUGGUAGUCUUUUUUUUUUUUUUUUUUAAACGAAAUAGGAUUUCAUGUAGCCCAGGUUGGCCCUGUAUACACUCUUUAACCAAGGGUGAUCUUGAUCUCUGGAUCCUUUUGCCACUAUGUCUCAAGCAAUGUGAUUAUACGCUUGUGCCACUGGGCCUGGCCUUCAGCAGUCCACAUGUGAACAAGGACAGAUCCCUGUAUCAAAUAAUUGUCAUGGGAAAAAUGGGGGAGAAAAUGGUCGCCCUCGUCUUUACUGAUGUUUCCAUUAUAAUGGAAUAGAACUUCAGAACAAAUGACCACAGCAAGCCAACAAUUUUCACCAGUAAAACCACUAAUUACCAGCUAGAGUCUAUGCAAUUGCAUUUAACAUUUUUGUCUUGCUAAAACAGAUUCACCUAGGCAAACCUAAGAGAAGUCUAAAGUGUGUCUAUCCACAACACAGGAAAGAAAAGGAAGCACGUGCCUGCUGGCUGUAAAACUAGAGGGAGAAAACUAUCUGCAGGAAACAAACAGACUAUCGAGUUUAUCUUCAAAGGCAAUGGUUAAUUCCCUUUCUUGGGCCGCGGUGCUGAUCACCAAGAUAGGAGAGCCUGCCUCAGCCUCAGGCCCUCAUUCCUAGUAAUCAGUUGGAGCACUGAUAACCUAUUUCAAAGGCUGUGGAUAGAAGCCUGCUGGGUUAAAUCCUCAUGGAAUGUAUAUUAAAAAUACAACCAAAAAGAGCUCUUCGUAUCUUCUUUUCCGUUACCAAUUAUUUACGAUGCACAUUCUUCAAAACAGAAGACUGGUACAUACCCUGGAGAUACAUUUAUUGAACUAAAUUAAGAGUUUUGCCUUUGCAAAACAAAAACAAUACUACCCAUCCGAGUGGUUGUGCUGUUCUAAAUCACACAGACACACAGACACACACACAGACACACACACAGACACACACACACACACACACACACACACACUCUCUCUCUCUCUCACACAUACACCCUCACACAUACACACUCUCUCUCUCUCUCUCUCUCUCUCUCUCUCUCUCUCUCACACACACACACACACACACACGCACACGCACACACACACACACACCCCAACCAAAUAAUAUUGCUAUAAUGUGCUGUAGCCAUGUCCUACAUCAACCAACAGAUGUUGCCUACACAGAAAACAUUAGCAGACGCUUCACAUUGCUCCAGAGGACAUUAUUUCUUGCACAUUGGCAGAAGCAGCGCGCAUGCUCUCUGACCUGUUCCCAGCCUCUCCAGCGGAUUCUGCCUGAGGAGCAAGGUAAUCAGGUCCUGAGCAUCUGGAGGAGGGGCCUCAUCCUUCUCAGGCCAGUUGAUUUCAUCUAGAAGGAAGAGAAAAUGUUCACAGCUUUAUUGCUCAAAGGGCGGUCUAGUCCCCUACAGUCUGGACAUCCCCUGGGGGGACUGUUAGAAAUGGAGGACCAUGGGCCCCAUCCCGGAAACACAGAGACAAACCCUACAUUUAAGGUCUUCAGUUGACUUCUAUGUGGUCAAGUUUGAACAGUGUUCUCUUACAGGGCAUGGACAACACUGGUUUCAUCAAGGUCUAUUUCAAGAGACCGUGCCUUUCAUUCACUUUUUUUUUUUUCAUCAACAUAACAAGCAGUGCCUCCUGGUUAUUAGAAGGGUUUAAUAUAACAGAACCGAAUGCUUUGUGCCAGGUGCGUCCCCACUGGGGACCAUGUAAGAUUUUCUUAUUAGCCUCAACUGAGAGUUUGGUCAUGCCUGCUCAGUUCUUUAGCUCUAAGGGGUAAAAGGUUAUUUUACAAAAAGUAAUUAUUUCUAGAGACAAAGGUAAAGUCCAAAAUGUUAAGGCCUAAGAAGAGAAGAAAAAAAAAAAAAAGAAAACGAAAGGAAACCACGGUAAUGGGAGUACUUAAAUCUGUCAGAGAUAUUAAACCAUGUUCUUGCUGUGAAGGAGUUUGCCUGGAGAUAGGUGUGUACAUGCUCGUGCCUAUGGAAAUGCAAUAAAAACAUGAGUUAUUUUGGUGUGCGCCUGCCUCUAGCUUCCUCUGCUGCAGUUUAAAUCUGAUUUGGAAAAUAAAACAUGAAUAUGCAUCAGAGCCGUGAGGCAUCGAGAACAAAGCCAGCAUUUGCUGCUUGUGUUAAUUAAACAGUUGAUUCCCUGUGCCAUUCAGGCCCCGGUCUGUCAGAAAACAGCCUAGUUAUAAAUCCAUAAACAGCUCAGAUAUUAUAUAAAGGGCUUUUACACUGCAGGCGAUUCAACAAAUCUACUUUGUUAAAGUUUACAAAUAUGCCCGGCUCGCAGAGCCAACGCCAGAAAAUAAGAGUACGGUUAAGGGCUCUUCGUGAACACAAUGGAUUUUCCCUACUUCCAUUGCCGGCUGGCAUAAGCGCAGAACAGGUUGGGACCAGAGGUGGCUGAUGGGGUUACAUCAGUGGGGCCUGACAAACGUUUCAGGUAGAGAGGCCUUUUCUGUCAUCUCUGCAUUGGGAAAAUUUACAAAAUCAGCAGGGAGGGGAACAGUGGCCCCUAUUUAAUUAUCAUUUAGGUGUGCCACAUGCUACACGACAGUAGUUAGGGUCAGCUCGCAGGUUAAGAUCUAAAGGUUAUUGAAUUUUAAAUGAAAGACGAACAGCUGCUGUAGAAAUAACAUCACACACCACCACUACCAAUGAAAGCAUUAACAGCCUGCGAAUCCCACUCACAGCCUUGCCAAUCUCAUUAUUUAUUAUUUGGUAGACAUUUGUUUUAGGGGCUAUUACAUUUUUGUUAAUUUCUUCAUUGUGCCAUUAGCCGUUUUUCCCCCCAUUUAUAAAAAUGUUCCCCACAUUAACCUUUUCUUCCCUGGUGCAACUUUCCUAUUAUGAAAAUGAAGGACAGUUAACAGGGAAAGCAUUUGUAAAUCCCACACCAAUUUCUUUAAAAAAAAAAAAUAGCAGACAAUGAAAGCUGGACACACUGCCAGCCCACUUCCAAAUUUCAUGUUAACAAACCUUCCUCGGAUCCAUUUCAAUACACAUCACUCUCGUGGGAAAGCAUGAACCAGUUGUACACUAUGAGAAGUGAGUUCUUUUAAUUUGUUGGCUCCAAUGGCUGACCAGAGGUUAACAUUUUAGUGACACCCAACAGAUUUACACUGAGUAGCUGUUUCCCAGUAGUGGCUUAAAGAUAACUCUUGAUGAUAUUUACCACUGAUGACUUGUCCAAAUAGCUCUUCUGGAGUGUCCCCAAAGAAAGGCACACACCCAACGAGAAACUCAUAGAGGAUGAUGCCCAUGGCCCACCAGUCCACGGGUUUCCCGUAGCCCUGUCUCAGAAUCACCUCGGGGGCAAUGUAUUCAGGUGUGCCACAGACCUAAAAUGAAAUCGCUGUAUUAGAAUAGCUGGAGUAUUAGACGUGAAUUAAAGUGAACAAGAAGACCAGACAAUUAUACUGCCUCGAAUAACCCUGCUUACCUACUAGGGAACACAUGGGCAGAGACCUUGAGAGCAGAAGUUACUAUGACAAACAAUUCAAAAUAUCCAUUAUGCCGAGUCUCCAAUUGCAAACCUAACCUGGGUAUAGCUUUAUACGACACUAAAAAGUGUUUUCAUGUUGAAAAAUAAUAGUUCGUGCUUAAUCUGUCACUAUUAGAGGUGCUCAAUGGUUUAUACGACCAAGCUGAUUCUCCCUAUGGUUAUAUCAGGAAGGUGUGGCAGCUGAGACGGGUUUACCUUAAGUAACUUCAUGAUGAACAGAUUGUGGGCAAUGGUAAUGAGGCAUGCUUAGAAGGAAAUGGGCCAUGGCUUGGAUUCUAGCAGCUGAGAUUGCGCAAUGCAUCAUGAGUUUCACGAGUACUCUAUUGAGACCCCCCGAAUUCCUUACCAAAACAGUUUUCCAUUUGUCUCCCUCACCCUCUCACUCGAGUGCAAUUAGACCAUUCGUCUUGCUAAUAGACCUUAAUGCUAGGGGAGGAAUGUAGAGGGAUCGGACGGUUCAGGGGAGCCCGGGGAGAUAAAUGGAAGCAGUUUGCACUUUAUUAAAUGCAAGGCUUAUACAGACAUCCAAACGCCAGCACUAAUGUGGGGCUGGCCUACACAGGUGCAUUCCGAGUUCACAGGCUUCGGGGAGAUUUCUUUCUCUCCACAGGCAGAGCUUACCUGUUUAUCUAAGAACUCUCGAGCAUCCUUCUCAAUAUGACCUUCGUAGAGAUUGGUAGUCAUGCUCAUCAACCCCACCUUCGACAAGCCAAAGUCAGUCAGCUUUAUGUGCCCCAUGGAGGUGACCAACAGGCUAGGAGACAGAAGGACAAAGGGCACGGCAAUCACUUGGAAGCAGAUUCUGUUGUUUUAGGUCUCCCUCUUUCCCUCUUCAGUUUGUAAAACAUCAACUCUAUUGCGAAAGGAAGCCUGGUAGGGGAGGAAUCACGCAAAGGAGUGGAAAUGCUGGCAUCCGACUGCCGAGCCUGAUUGAGAAGUCAGGGCCAGAGCUACGUCAUUUGUGCAACACUUUAAGAAACUCUAAAAUCUUAAGUACGGAACUCUGAUUCCUUUCUGUUUUUAUGUUUCUUUCAGUCUACGGACAUUGACUGUGCCUGAUCUCAGAUAUAUUUUUAAAGCUAUAUGUACACGUCUGUGAAUGGGGGUGGUGGUGCAUGUGCACACAUGGAUGAGGGUGCCCGUGGAGUCCAGAAAAGUGCACAAGAGUCCAUGAAGCUGGAGAGAGAGGUAGAUGUGAGACACCUAACUGUGGGUGCUGAGACCAAACUCAAGCCUUCUGCAACAGCAGUACUCAACCACUGAGCCAUCUUCCAAGACACCUCUUUCCAUUUUUUCAGAAUAAGAAAACAGAGAAGAAAUGAGCCAAGAGUCCUAUGGCAUUCAUCAGGAACUCAGGUAAGGAAUCUGCUUGUGAUUAAAACAAGACGUAGAUAAAAGAACCUGGAUGGAAAAACCUAGUUUUUCAUAUUUUCACUCCCAGCUUUGAAUUGAAUUUCAGCUUAUUAAACACAAAGCUUGGACUUGCUAUAAUGCAAAAAUACAUGUGAAUAUAUUAAAAUAUUUCAUUGUUAGUAAAAAAAAUACCAUUAUAUAAGUUAAUAGGUUAAAGCAAUAGAGGAUUUUAGGGAAGCUACUGGAAGGAGGACCAGGCUGCAGGAGGUACACGCCUUUAAGAAUCCCAGCACUCAGGAGGCAGAGGCAGGUGGAUCUCUUGAGUUCUAGGACAGACAGGGCUACACAGAGAAACCCUGUCUCCAAGAGGCAAGCAAGCAGACAAAGCUACUAGAAGGAAUUAUGCCAAAAUUCUGAUAGUUGUAUACGAAAUUGUUCUUUCCUUUCCCCAAGUCUCCCUGAAUGUCUGAUGAGCAUAGUCUUAGUUUUGUCACACGCUUUUCAACACGCUUAGCAGCGUCUCACGUUAGGGUAGAAAGUGUGAAAUAUACCACCUGUGACGUCAAAAUGAAUGGCUGGCCACGUGGGGAAAGUUCUAUCCAUAUUUCAAAAUUAGAGCCAGGAAGAACUCCAAAGUAACACGGGAUGGUAGUAUAAUAAGUGAAGGAGAGAAUUAUAUUGCAUGUAUUACUGUGGGAAGGCAAAGCUUAUCUAAACAUGAUGCCAAGUACAACAUGCUUCAGAAAACACCAUUCUGUGUCAUUAUUGAAAGGUUUGUAUGAUAAAAGGAAAUUAACUCUAGAGUCAUUUCCCCUAUUUCUCCUAAACUCUCACUGCAAGCACUGUAGCCUUCCAAGAAAUGUAUAAAAGUUACCAUUAAGUUACUAUUAAAAUAACUCAUUUUUUUAUACUGAGGACAAAUUUUGAAACAUGCAAAUAUUUAAAACAUUUCACAGACAGAAGGAAAUGUUCAGUAUUAUUUCAUCAGGGCACAUACUUACUUAUCUGGCUUCAAGUCCCUGUGUACAAUUCCGUAAUUAUGCAGAUACUCCAAGGCCAAGACCGUCUCUGCGAAAUACAUCCUGGCCAUAUCAACUGGAAGAGGCCCCAUGUUUUUCAUGAGGGUCGCACAGUCCCCCCCUGUAAAGCACAGGAAACAAAUUUAGUCGGGACGGCAUCCAGCAGGAUUACUGAAAAGCGAGCGGUGCAGAUCACAGAACUUCAAAGCGGAGUCACACGAGUUAAGUGGAGACCGUGUUAAGUCGUCAUGUUUCCAAUUAAGAAGUGGAGUGAAGAGAGCAGUUUGGCUCUGAGGUGAACUGCAUUCUGAAGACUCUCUACCAUAAUUCGGGAUGGUUGUACUAAUUUAUCAUGCAUCAGUAUAAAACACAGAUGCUAGAAUUGGAGGGCAGAGGUGGAGUCCUACUGUCUCUGAGCAGCCGGGAGCUCUUGGGUAAACGAAUCUGGUGGUCUUGGUUACUUCAUGGCAAUAUAGGGUUAGGAAUAAUGUCAUCCUGCAUAGAGCCGUUCUCAACCGGGGAUCAAAAGACCCUUUCACUGGGGCCACGUAACGGAUACCCUGGAUGUCAGAUAUUUACAUUAGGAUCCACAACAGUGGCAAAAUUACAGCUAUGAAGUAGUAACAAAGCAAGUUUAUUGUUGGGGGGGGGUCACCGUAACACGAGGAACUGCACUCAAGGGUCACAACCACAGGAAGGUUGAGAACCACUACUUUAUAGGAUUGUUUGGGAUUCGUUCUAGUAAAGGAGUGAGGCCCUAGUCUCAUACGUACCAAAUGUGAUAGAAAGUUAUAAAAACGACCAGCACGACGGUUCAGAAACAAACAGCUUGUGUGGUAGAAAGAAGAACGGGUGGAACUCGGGCUAAUGGCUUGGGGUUCUAUCUACCACUGACCUCCCACUAAAGCUCCCUUUCUUGGCUGCCAAUCCGCUGAUCUGCAAACUAGCUGUAUAGUGAAGGAUUCUCUCCAGACAAAGAGUCUAACCAAGACCCAGGGAAGGUGGUCUGGGCCUAUGCUGAGCUAGUACUCAUUGUGGUCACUUCACGUCAAGGAGUCAGGGAGAUGGGAAGUCUCAGACGAGUAAUGAAUGAAUAAGAGAGAGAGAGAGAGAGAGAGAGAGAGAGAGAGAGAGAGAGAGAGAGAAGAUUACUUGGAACAUUUAAGAUAUAAACCACAAACGGCUUAGGAGGAGGAGGCUGGGCAUUGUCAGGAAUGUUGGUAACCCUAGCACUCAAGAGGCUGGGGCAGGAGAAUUAUAAACUUUGAGACCUGCUUGGCUAUAAAGGAAGACUGUUUCAAAAAGAAGGAAGAGGGAGAACAGAAGUGAAGAUUGGGAAGGCUGGCUGGAUCUUGCAUUUCCCACCACAGGGUAACAAAGAUAACGUUUAGAUUCACUUUUUGAGAAGACUAAGAUAACACAUUUUAUGAUGUGUGAUAAAAAGAAGUAGAGGGGGAAAAAACCCCAUUCCAACUUUAAUGACCAAUUGAAGGGAGGUAGUUAGGAUUAAAUGCUAUUAAAAAAGAAAACAACCUUUUCCCAAAUAACACUAAUUUCCCCUUUGUUAUAGUAGCAGGCAUUUUUACAAGCAAUUAUCAGUAGAUAAUGACUGGGAAUUCGGCCAUCUUGUUGCUCGCUUGGGCUCCUAGGUGGAUAGAGCCAUUAUGUGGCACAGAUGCGGCUUUGCCGAUGGUAUCUGGGUCCUGGCACCACACUCGCUGUGGGCAAGACAGAUUUACCUUCCACGUACUCCAUGACCAUGCAUAAGUGACGCCUCGUUUCAAAGGAGCAGUACAUGCUGACCACGAAGGGGUUCUCUGCGAAAGUCAGGAUAUCACGUUCCACGAAGGCCUGCUGGAUCUGGUUCCGAAGGAUGAGGUUCUGCUUGUUGAUUUUCUUCAUGGCAAACCUCUGUCGGGACUCUUUGUGCCGAACAAAGUAGACUGCCCUGAAAUGGAACACACGUAUUGGGUUUCACAGCAAGAGAGAAGGUAAGGAUGCUCGGAGGAUACACAGACCAUGUACGUCCUGUGCUUUCUGAGUGCCUUACAGCUUGGGUUAAGUUGCCACAGCUGUGCUGGUGACUUAGCAAUAUCCCGUCCCAAACCCGAAUUGACUUAAAAAAAAAAACCCAAAAACUUCUUAAUAAAGAUUAUACAUAAAGCAUCCGGUUUGCCUUUGCUGACCCAAAGAGGGGGCAGCCGUCCCCAGAGUGAGUUAUUUCCCAAGAACUGGCUGAUGUUUUCAGUUUUGCCACAAACAAAACAAAACCCGAUAUAUAAAUCAGAACCGGGAAGAAUUAACAAAAUGACAUACGGAUCGCCAGCGACAUCUUUUCUAGCAUUAGACAUAUGUUAGGCACGUUUUUCUGGACUGACUAAAGCAGUAAUUUUCUAAAUGAUACCCUUGGGAUCUGCAAAGAGGACCAGGGCUUCUUAGAGUCCCUGGUUUCCAAUUGAGAGUAAUUACUUCCCAUGGAAUCUCCAGAUAAAUGAGAGGCUUGCAUGAGGAUAUAUGAGACUGUUCUGCAACAAAGGGUAGCAUAUUUCCUCUCUGCAGACUGCACAGGCACCACCCUCUCUGAGCUCCAGCAGCAAAUGCAUUUCCCAACGUAACAGGUGAGGAGGCACUGAGGGGCAAGCCAAGGAGAUGCAUGUCUGCUCCCCUCAUAUCCUGGUCAACCUAUGAACUUUACAGAAUAAAAUGACUGGUCUAGGCCACAUUCAGUCUCUGCUAUGGCCUUGCCCAGAUCCUCUCUGGUGAAAAACAGUGAACUCCCUAAGGACUGGGAUGACAUGGAGAAAGGGGUGCUUAGAAAGGCAGGAGUCCUAAAAUCCCUAAUAGGACAUGAACAACGAUGGCCCCCUUCCUUCCAAGUCAGUCCAUUUGUUGUUUUCGUGGAGGGACAGGUUUGAGCUUCCAAGAAGGCAAUGAUCAAAUGAUGUAAUACCUUAAAGGGCCACUAAACAUGUAUAUUAAGUAUUUGCAUGUAUAAAUAUGUGUGACAGGUUGUGCAUGCUGCCCUGAAACCAAAGGCCUUGAUUAAAUACAGAAUAACUAAUUUAAAACGCCACUGAUCAUGGUACACACACACACACACACACACACACACACACACACACACACACACACACAAUUGGUAUACCUUCUAAAACAAGGAGCUAUGUGAACUUAGAUUUGUUUCCUACUAGUUUGCUCAGUAACGUCUAAUGAAUGGCUGGCCACAAGGCAGGCUGGGACAUUCUGUUCCCUGCUAAACCAAUAGUUCAGGACAUAUACUGAUUAAGUCUCAGUAUAGUCAACUCUGAUUUAACCCCUUAUUAACAUUUUCACAGAAGGGGUCAACUAGGGCUUGCUUUUCCUUUCUGACCUGAGUUUAUCUUGUCACCCUGUCCCCCACUUGUCUUGGUUUCACAGUGUCACACAUUUGUACUCUUCUAUCAUCUUUGGCUUUGCUCACUUCCCGUUCCCUCUCCUCCUCUAUUUGCUUUUCUGGAUUUUUGCUCACCAUAUGGUACAAAGGAAGGUCUCUUGAUGGCACCCCUCAAAACAACUCACCGAGCAGCAUAGUCGUUUGAUUCUCACCAUAAAACAAAAAGCACACGAGAGGUAGCCAGUUGGACAUCUCAUGCAUGCUAAGUUAGGGGUCUUCUGUAGAGGUCUCACCUCAAUGCUGGGCUCCUACAGGCUGCGCUUGUUCCUACACCUGCUCUGUUGGUUACACCCGGUAGCAACAAUAACUAAUUCAGGUGCAUGGGACGAAGCUAGAGGGUCAGACAUCCGCCAUCAUCCUUGGUUAGAUAGCUAAUAUAAAAAAUUAGCUAAUUCAAAUAAAUAAUUAAACCAGUUGUUAUGAUUUGAAUGUCAAAUGGCUGACACAGAAUCACCUGGUCCCCAGAAGGUGGUGGUGUCAGAGGAGGUUGUGGAGCCUUUAGAAAGACCUAGCUGGGAGGAAAAGAGGUUGGCCAGGGAUGUAGGGGUGUGGUCUCUGCUCCCUGGUUUCAGCCACAGGUAACACGUGUGCUGCAAACUGCCACUGACUGGAAGGAGAUCCAGCUGUGAUGGACAGAGACUCAGGGACUGAAACAAAUCCUUCCACCCUUAGAUGAGCUUCUCCUGUACUUGAUCAUAGUAAACAGAAAAAUGAAAUCUCACUGGGACAAUGAGAAGUUCUAUUGCUAAGUGUUCUGGAAGGUGUUCUAGAUGCAGAGGAGUAAGUAAAAUUCCAGUUGGUUUUAGCAGGGGUGAACGUUCCAAAAGCUGUCAAGACAUUUAGAGGCCCACAUUCAGACUGCUUCAAGUUUCAGCUUCACCUUUAACCUUGGGAAACAGAAACCAGGCACUUUAAGAAUGGCUCACGUCAACUGUCUUCAAAGGAACUAAAGACAAUAUACAUAUAUGGGUAAAACUUAAAUGUUUACUGCACACGUUUUCCUAACUUCUUCUUAUCACCAAUUUUUAAAUUAACUAAUCAGCUAGUGCAUAUUUUUAUAUCGGGUAAAAAAGCUUUUAUUGUGUUUUCCCUUUUUUCAGAACCACUGCUUAGGAUAAAAUAAAAAGUCUUUAUAUACUGAAAGCUGUUUCUAUCAUGAUGGAGGCCAGAGGUGAAGCUAUUCACAAAGAAGUACAGAAAAUUAACUUGGCCAACCCCCAAAUAUAAGAUAGACACGUAGGUAAACAAUCGUCAUUAAAAUGGACUUCUGAAAUGGGAGAUAUAGUUUUAAAUAAAAUUAGGAACUCAAGACAUUAACAUGAAAAUGCCAUCUCUUUAUAACUGCUUGUCUCUUCUUAAAGACAACUGAAUUAUAACACACCUUCCAGUUUUCCCUUCAGUACUGCACAUUAAUAAGUUCAGUGCUGAGGACCUUUAGACCCAUAUUCCGAAUGCCAUACUCCAACUAUCACAAGAUGGAUACUUUGAUUUUCAACCAAGAGUUGAUUAAACUGCUGGAGUAGAUAAGGUACCUAAUUGGGAUCUACCGUUGUUGAGUGCUUUGUGGGCGGCGUGGGGAGGAGGCUUGUCGGUCAUUUCUACAACAUUGAACACUGAACGUAGAGCCUUGAACAUUUGGGGCAAGUGAUCUAACAUCGGGCUAUAUCCUCUGCUUCUAGUUUACUUUAUGUUCUUAGUUUCUGGUAUUUGUUUUGUUUUGGGGGUAUUGUUUAGUUUUGUUUUACGAGAAAGGGUUUCCCCAUGUAGCCCUGGAUGUCUUGGAACUCUCUUAUAUACCAGGUUGGUUUUGAACUCAAGAGAUCCUUCCUGCCUCUGCUCCUGAGUGCUGGGAUUAAAGGCGUGAGCCACCAACACCUGACUCGAGCGUUAUUCAUAAUGCUAAAACUUAUUUAGUAAUAACUGUAUCUACCACAUGCAUCUUCCCCUAUAUGGUGAUGUUUUAGUUCAACAUCCAUUAGCAGAGAGCAAGGCAUUGGGAAAGAGACCCAGAGUAGGAACAAAAAUCAGAGGCAGAGGGACUGAAGGACAGCUAGCUCUACCGAAUGAACUAUGAAUGUCCUAACAGCCCAACACUGCCUUGUCUGCUUAUGUUCCCAACUCGUCGUUUUUCUGGUCCCAAGAAUGGGAAAUGAUAUGAUAGAAAGGGAGACUCUUGCCCACCAGGAGCCAGGCAUCUCUCUGACCGUUCAUGAUAAAAAGAAGUCAGGCCCAGGAGGGGAUGCUGAAGCCCAGUGAGUACUGUCCCACGGGAAGCAUGAUCCUAAUGUGUAUGAAAUCCCGAGACUCUGAGAGCCCAGUGCACAAAUGUGAGCCAGCAGAUCUGUAAGUGGGAGUCGGCGGUGGGGAGUAGGUGACCGCAGCUAAUGUGCAAAUGGGUGUGUGUCAGCUAACCCUCAAGGGCCUCACUAGCAAAUGUCUCUGGGCCCUUGAGACAUGAGAGAACAGUGUGUAUAAAGGUCAAAAAGCAAAGUACAAUGAGGGGGAGAUGUUGCAACUUUUGUUCUAAUUCUGAGUCAAUAUUUUUAGCGUGUAAUAAGAGAAUCGGGAGUUCAAAGCUAAAUCUAUAUGGGAAAUAUGGAGCGAGCCCGAACUACUGAGGACUCCAUUUUGACCCACCCAAUCCAAUGAGGGGAAAAAAAUCUCUUUAAAACCUCUUUGAGGCUAUGGCUUAAGAGUCCAAUCAAUGUUCAACAGCAGAAGUUAGGUCUUUAUUUCUCAAUCGGGAUAAGAGAAAGUUAUAAUCAAAGGAAACUUGUAGGGAAUUGAGUACUCUGCCUGGUACCAGCUCUGUGUACCUGAGAACUGACUCCAUAGACAAGUAGAAAAGGUAUCAGCGACCACCUCAGGCUCUUAAGCAAAGAACACAGACAAGGAGGCCAACACAGUGCUGGAUUCACGAGCUUCAGUCUCCUCAGAGUACUAUGUUAGUAUAAAGAGAAAUUUCACUUUCACCUGGAGACCAGUACACACUUACCAAGCCAGCAUUAUCAAUGUACGGUCAGCAAGCACAAGAGACUUGUCUCACUGCGUGUUUCUAAUGAGAGGUUUGGUUCCCAGCACCAACAGCGUUUGGGGAGACAGAGUCUGUGUGUCUUCGAGCCACUGACGUAAGUAGCGACCCCCGUUACGCAGAUACCAAGGACAGUGGGAAUAGUCCAGAUCCUUUGCCCUGCUAAAGGUCUGUUUGUUCAGCUAAGCCUGAAGACAGCAUCACGGCUGGUUGAAUGGACAGAGAUAGCUCCAUUCCAAUUUUAAAUUAAAAAUAAUUCGGAUAGGAAGGAAAUCUGUCAGAAAUGUAAUGAGAUAUUACUUCUGAGGAGAAGAGGGGGAAAUGGUUCUGGCUGAUCAGCAGAGGCUCCGACAGGCAGCUCGUGAGCCCACUAAUGACUUGGCCUGUAUCCUGGGUGUUUACUAAUUCACAGCUUGUUUAACUUCUUGUAUAUUCCCAACCGUUCCCCAAAGUGUGAUAGACCCCAUCUACUACACAGUGCUUUAAUUGCACUACAAAUGAGUUUACUCAACCAAUUAGAACUCCAAAUACUGCUAAGAUACAGGCCCAAGAUUUACACAAGUGUUGCUUCCUAGACUGUCUCCUUCUGGAAUCAUUCCGCCGCUGAGAAAGAACCGAGAAAUGCUCCGGCCCCGUGUCUGUGAGAUCAACCCGCUGGCUCCUUUCUACGGAGAAUGUGUGAGGUCAUAUCCGGAAGGACAAAUGGCCACGAAACAAGCAGUAAAACGCAGAUAAAGGGCACACACAAUUGCAGAGUGGAAAAUUUUCAAUGAAAAAAGAAAAACGCUCAUAUUGCCAAAAGAUAACAUCUAAGAGCAUGCAUGGGCUGCAUCAAGAAACAUGUCAUUUGACAUGAUCCUGAAAGCUAGUGAGGCAUAGAGAGGGCUCACGAAUAUUUAGGUUCUUUGCUAAGUUAAUGGCAUGGAAAAUAUUAGAGGUGAAAAAAAAAAAAAAAAAAAACCAGGAAGAAGAAACAUCCCUUGUGGCGUAACAAAAAAAUCACUGUCUCCUCUGCUCCUGCGUGGAGAAGUGGAUCUCGGGGAUGAGUUAUUGCUCUCUGUGUACGUGCAAAUAGAAUUAAUACUAUUCUUGGGCUACCUACAAUGCAUUAGGUCACAGUGUGCCUGUUUAAUCUGUCCUCCCACCCUAUUUACUGGUAACUCGCAAUUUACUAUUUACAGCUUACUACUGUCGCUACUUAGACCUUGGGAAAGACACUGUGUCAUAGAAAUGGAUCGAGGAAUUCGACAAGAGAAAAAAGUCAGAGGUUCCCAGCACAAAGAAAUAAUGUUUAAAGAAACGAAAACGCCAUGACAUCACUGUUACACACUUAUUGAAAUAUUACUGUUACAAGAUACUGAAGUGUACAGUGUAUGUGUGCAGGUUACAAAAGUGUAUGCAGAUGUCAACAGAAAGAACACCCCUCCCCCCAAAAAAACCCAGUGGCGACACAAACCUCUAAUCCUAGCACUCAAUGGGUAGAAACAGGAGGAUCAGGAAUUCAAGGUUUUCCUUGGCUACAUAGUAAGUUCAAGUACAGCCUGGACUACAUGAGACACUGUCUGAACAUUUUUGAGAAAAGAAAACCCAUUUUAUCCGUUAUAAAAAGACAUUAGUAAUAGAAAAGGAAAGAAAAGUGACGAGAAUUUAGUGCCCACUAGAAUCCUGAAAUCCACUCUUUGAAGACAUUGGUAUGAAUCUAGAAAUAUAACUCUCUCCCUUCAGGAAUGAAAUACUCACCCAUACGCCCCAUUGCUGAUCAAUUUAAUCGUCUCAAAAUCGCUCUCUCGGGGUUUCCUUCGAAGUCUCAGGGAAGUAUUUGAGCUCUGGGGAACGGAAUGUGAAAGUUAAAACACAGUUCAGACUUGGAGGAAAUUACCGUAAUGUGCUGUCUAACUCGCCGAGGCGCGGUGUUCCGGCUUAGCGAGCCUGGGAUCAGCUGCAAGGAACCUCUUUGCCUCAUCGGCAGUGAGCUGUAUCUCCGUCAGCUGUAUUUAAGCCCGUGUUGCCAAGAGAAGAUGUGUGAAGGUUUUGGAAACGUAGCUUCAUCCUGGUCCUACAUUUUAAUACUUCAGUCUAAAAUACCAAACCCCCCUUCUGCUUUCAGUUAGAAACAAAAGCAGGCCCGGACAGCUGUCACCAGCGUUGGGGGGUGGGGGGUGGGGGGUGGCGGUGUGUAUGGCCUCUCCAUUCCUGACUAGACCGUAUCUUUUUCACACUGUGGCACUCUAUGGAUGGUAGGUGACAAAUUUCUUAGGUGUGGAAUGCCUGCCUGUGUUAACCUCUAUAUCAGAAAUUUUACUACAUCUUAAAUACCGAAAGUCUAAAUUUCGGCUCUCUGGAAAGUUUAGCUCAAAGAGCAGGAACAAUCCACCUCACCGCUCUGAUUAGUAAUGUCUCAUGCCCUGUUCACCUCAGCUGCUCUACGACUGUCACAGGGACCCCGAUUCUCUAUCAUUUUAGAGGACCCUGUGGUGCUGAGGUGUGCACAAGUCUCUCCACCCCAGCCUUCUACUCAUCGUUGGAAGGCUUGCAAACCAGUUCCUUACCUUCUUCUCUGCUUAGGUUCCUUCUUUGUCUUAACAUCUCUACUCGGGAACACAGCCAUUCCCCAGCCUCAGAGCUACUUGACCUCCUCAAUUCAAGCAGCCGCCUGUCUCUUACAUGUCCCAUUGACCUCUGGCCCAUGGCACCUGAAUCUUAGCAUUACUUCCAUGGCUUCAUCUCUGGAAACAAGUUAAGCCAGGGACCUCGUGAUCACUCUACACAGGCCCUCCUCACACUAACUCUUUUGUCCUACCACUGAUGAAGUCACCCAGACCUCCACCAGGGUCUCUCCCUCCGAGAGCCUCAAUAGUCCAGACUAUAAUCACUAGCUUGGCGGUUCUCCUUAGAUAUUUUGAAGGAAUCGCAGUUACACCACAACCACAUAAUGAUAUUGUCAUGGCAUCUGUCAGUUAGCACUUAAUGUUGGGAUACUUUCCUAGCCACUGUGGAUGGAAUAUCUCCAGAUGGAGAAACCGAGGCUCAGAGAACCCCCUCCCCUGACUGGUAGGCAAGAGGUGGAGUUCAUUUUCAAAUGCAGGCAAUCUGGACCUAGAGUUCUCAAACCCCAGACUAUAAAACACGUUUUACUUUCCUGGCCACUUGGAUUCAUCCUGGCUUCUCUAAUGAUGCUCACUUCAUAGGAGAAUGGCCCCCGUCAGCAAGGCCUUUCACCAGUGCCACGCAAGCUGCCUCUUUAUCGAUUUCCCUAUCUGUCUCUGUAUCACAUGCACUUUCCAGCCAUGACUCUGGCCAGGUCAUCUCCCGGUCUACUCCCUCCUCCCUCGGACUCACUCUCCCACUCAGCUGCUAUCUGCUACCCUUAAAAAGAAGGCCGCCUGACAGACACGAGCCGGAUCCUACUGACUGGUUUCCCCCAAGCUCUCCAGCUCAGGAGUCUUCUUGGCUUUUAGCCCUGAGAUACACCUUGCAAUCCAGCACAUUCCUCUGUCCCCUCAUGUCUUACCCAUUUUUUCCCCCAUUUCAACUCAAUGGCCAAGCCCUUGGAAAAACCUUCUGGGAUUGGUCCACUCAGAAAAGUCUAUUUCUGGAGGUCUCCUGGUUCAUGGUCAUCUAUUUGUUACUCAUGCUCAGAGUUGCUAUUUUGGUGCGUAUGAUGUUGUUUUUGUAAACUUCUGCUUCUCUUAGGAGUAAGGCACUAAAAGUGUGUGUAUGCCUCGUGUCUUGCCCACAGAAAGACAAUAAACAUUUAUGGAAUGAAGUAAUUAACACAGUCAAAAAUCUCCGGAUGCUCAGAAACAGAAACAAACACAGCGUCCUACUCCAUCAGGAGCGAUACUCACGCUCACGGACUCGUCUGUCUCUGGCGUCUCUGCUGUUCUACUGUCGUAAUUCCCCAACUGAGCCAUCUCUAAGUUGAAAACAAAAAGGGAAGAAGGAAAUACUGAGGUUACACAAGAAGACAAAGCCCUAACAGAAGAGAAGUAAAUUCUUGUUACUUAAAAAGAGAGAAAGAAAAUUUCAGCCUACAAAAACAUGCACAUAUUACAGCCUCAAAGGCAAAAAUUGGCAGCUGGUAUUCUGAACAUGUACUAAUGACACUCUCUCUAGAUCUCCAAUUUUAUGACUAGCCAGAACUAGGAACAUGGAACACAGGACACUGGGCCUGCGCUCCAGUGAGCAGUAGGCACUGGCUCAUGCACACGGUCAAGCUCGCAAAGUCUUGGGUGAGUGACUGAGCAGCUCUGUCCACAAUCCACGAAGAGAGGCAAGCCUUCCAAGGACUUGACACACAGCAAAGAUGCACUGGCUACAAUCUGAGAAUUCUCAGUUGCAGGGACACAAAGAAAGUGCAGUUUUCCAGAGGCAGUAAUGGUGGUGGGUACCAGGGGAUAGAGGAGGAAAAACCCUUGGGUUAUCGCUUCUUAGCUUAGGGACUAUUUAACCUCAGGUUUUUGUGAAAGAUGCAAACAGUAUUGUGUCUUCGAGCUUUUGCGAGUAUUACACACGCUAACGCAUGUGCAGCUCUUAGCAUAUUCACUAAUAAGAAUUAAGUGCUCGUUAAAUGUUGGCUGUUAUUUAUUAAUCACAUUGUACGGAGCAGUCAAUUCUGGGCUGGAUGCCACAAGCUUGACACAAACUUAAGUACUUCCCUGGUGGUCUAGUUAAAAGUGACAAAGACAUCUAACGUGCAAUUGCUCAGACCCUGGUUUUGGAGAGCAUCACUGAGUUUAAGUAAAUGAGAAAGUCUAAUUUAUUUAAUAUUCAUCUUCAUACUUUCUUUAAGCCUUUUGUUGUGUGUUUUGGUUUUGGAGGCAGGGUUCCUUUGUGUAGCCUUGGCUGUCCUGGAAGUAAAUAUCUCUGUGGAACAGGCUGGCCUGAAACUCAGAGAGCCACCAGCUUCUGCCUCCUGAAUGCUAGGAUUAAAGGUGUGCAACGACCACCCAGCCAGAUAUUUUUUUAAUAAAGAAUAUGAAAGAAUUUUCACCAAAAGCAUUUUUUCCCCAAAAUUGAAUGUAUUAACAAACAGUUAGACUUUUUGGCAAUUCUGUCAGCAUUUAAAAUUGCUCCUUGGGCCUUUAUUUUAUAUGCUUGUGUUCUUAUAUAGAUACAUGUUCAGGGGUAGUGAGAUUAUUCAUAACUUAGAGAAAGCAAAACCACACUGAGGUGAAAAUGGAUAAAUUCCAGAUUCUGAAGUAGCAGUGGCACUAACUUCUCCCCUUUAGAUGCUGGUGAAAUUCUAGAAUAAAACUGUGCUUAGAGCAAAGACUUUCUUGGUGUCACAGAAAUGAUUCGGGCCUAUAGUAGGACCAGCAUCUUAGACACAGAGACUUGGACAAACUCAAGUGCACUGGGCUUGAGGAGCUCUCAAGAACUGAGACACUAGUAGAUACUAUGUAGCAAAAACAGCCCUAGACAUUUCUAUUUGAGAAGCAGGUAUUGUGCAGUCCCAUCACAAAGCUUAUGUCUAUUUUUACUUACUUAAUUUUAUGGAGACAAAAGUGACUUUUGCCCAGUCAAAGUCACAACCCAGCCUAAAAGUCUGUCCUACAUACCAAAGGACAGACAUAGAUUUGUCCAUUUUGAUGUAAACAAGAAAACAAAGGAAAAGUAUCUCAAGGGUUUGUAAUCAAAUUACCUGGAGAAAUCAUUUUAAGUAUUAAAAAAUAUAUUGAGAGACUGUUCUCAGAACGACUCAAGAAAGCUAUUAGGAGUCAAGAUGCAUUCCUAGUGAUUCAUUUACACUAUUCAACUCCAAUGUGUCCAAGAUCACUACUGUUUUGUUUUGUUCUUCAAAUCUAUUCAGAUAUAGGAGAGGGCAUCACAUUAUUCAUGUGUCAGAGUUCUGUCUACAGUGACACUUAAUGCCAGAAGAAAGCUGCACAGAGCUCACUGGUUGACAAGACCCAGGCUGACGCAGCCUUAACCAUAUCGGCGUGAAGAGUCACUCUAACAUGUUUUGACAGCCUCCCCUCUCCAAUUAUUUUCAUAAAAAAACAAAACAAAACAAAACAAAAAACCAAAUUAAAAGAGCGUUCUGUUUUAAAUAGAAUUUCAGCUAAAUAACUAUUAUCUAGGAAAUCCAUAUUAUUUGUAAGCAGUAGGUAGUAAUGGGAUGGAACCAAGUGUCGGCUUUUGAGGCAGGGAGCUAAGCCAUCAUUUUGUAAUGCCUGAAGAGAUUUUUUAAAACUCAUCUAAAUACCAUUAAACAUCUGCCCUUUUUAUUUCAUUGAUUUAAACCAUUUCUGAAGACUCGAGAUUCAAAAAGGUAAAGACGGUAAUUUAAAAGCCACGGGAGAAAAUCUCUCCCCGGGGAGCUUUUCAGAGGCGCAGUCACCAGCCUCUGUAUGUGAGGAAUCUGUUGUGGUGCCGCUUUCAGUACAGUAUAAAUUCAUCUGGCAUUAUCUCCCGGUAAUGCAUGCAUCAUUUCACUAGGAGCAAAGAUACGAUGUCCGCAAGAGCAAACCACGCGGGGAGGAUGAGGAAACGGGGGGCACGGGAUGCAGGAAGCAGCUUCCUAGCUUAGGACAGAAGAAAAAAAAAUCUCUUCACAUCAACAUUUACCUCCAUCACAAACAACUGAACAGGGUAAACACUGCCUGCAAAUUCAAUUUAAUGAACCAGGAAGAUGAUCUGGAACGAGGGACCCCCAUGAUAGUUCAUGAGUCUUUUGGGGUGGUGCGUAGACUAAGUGCUGUAUAUAACAGUAUUGAACAGAGAAGCAGAAAAGGACGGGAGGGGAUACCAAUAUUAGAUCUUUAUUUAUUUAUUUUUGGGAAGAAGGACUAUAGGAUAUUUCUGUAUUCAAUAGAAUCAUAUCUUUCAUCAUGGGGAUCAACCACGUACCCCUCUUACAAGCUCUGAAGGAAGCACCCCUCUUCACACCCGGCUCCCUUUCGAGUGUGACUACUUUUCAAGCUUGCUUGAGAAGGAGAACAGUCAAUUCGAAUGGAAAAGGUUUCAUUUCAAAGACCAUCAAAACGAUGACAUGUUCCAACUCUUAACAUAGAUCGGCUGUGUCUUACUCCGAGACAUAUGAGUUCUAUUGGCUUAAAUAAUAUUUAUUUAUCAAACAAGUGAAAGAAGAUAGGCUUCACUAAAACAACCACCAAUGAAACAGCACAGUGUGCGAAGGAACUGGCUUCCUGGUGUCUUGCAGCAAGCUCCAAAGGGACGAGUAGAGUCCCAGAGUUUGUAUUGUAAGUGUUGGCCACUAUUAAAAAAGCACCGUGACCCAG